UGGGGACCUUGUCAGUUCAGGAGUCGACCUCUGAAAUCUGCUGGGAGACUUUGUCAGUUCAGGAGUCACCUUCUCAACAGUUCUCGGAGACACCGUCUGUUCAGGAGUUGCCUUCUCAACAGUGUUUGGAGACGCCGUCUGUUCAGGAGUCGCCUUCUCAACAGUGCUGGGAGACCCUGACAGUUCAGGGGUCGGCUUCUCAACAGGGACUGGAGACCCUGUCAGUUCCGGGCCUUCCGACCUCGUCUUGUCAUCUGUCUUUGCCGGUGACUGGAAGCUCUUGCUGUAGCUUCCUGUCUCCUUAAAGAGCUGCUCGAAAUGAGGUUUGCAAUAAAGGACGCCAUCUAGCGAGGAAAAAUUACUCAGCUUUAGGGUUCCCUUGCAAUGGUUGCACUUGAAACAGGCCUUGUGAUAGGCGACGCCGUCGGCGCUGAGCUGGUCGACGACGUACACCGUCUUGUCGCAGGCCUUGCACUUCUGCUGAGUCCCGCUGAACGCCAUUGAUCCCCAGAUCUCUCGGAUUCGCGGCGAAUUGGAGAUGCUGAUUUGGGGAUCUUGGAAUUGGGGGAAUGGGGAUCGAUGCGCUUUUCG
rnacentral:misc_RNA from 1 species